rnacentral:rRNA from 1 species
CCUACGGGUGGCAGCAGUAAGGAAUAUUGGACAAUGCCCGCAAGGGUGAUCCAGCCAUGCCGCGUGCAGGAAGACGGCCCUAUGGGUUGUAAACUGCUUUUAUACAAGAGAAAACCUCCUUACGUGUAGGGAGCUGAUAGUAUUGUAGGAAUAAGCAUCGGCUAACUUCGUGCCAGCAGCCGCGGUAAGACGAAGGAUGCAAGCGUUAUCCGGAUUCAUUGGGUUUAAAGGGAGCGUAGGCGGUCUUAUAAGUCAGUGGUGAAAGCUCUUCGCUUAACGAAGAAAUUGCCAUUGAUACUGUAGGACUUGAGUACAGUUGCUGUGGGCGGAAUAUGACAUGUAGUGGUGAAAUACAUAGAGAUGUCAUAGAACACCGAUUGCGAAGGCAGCUCACAAAACUGUAACUGACGCUGAGGCUCGAAAGUGCGGGGAUCAAACAGGAUUAGAUACCCGGGUAGUC